rnacentral:rRNA from 1 species
GGUUAAGCGACUAAGCGUACACGGUGGAUGCCCUGGCAGUCAGAGGCGAUGAAGGACGUGCUAAUCUGCGAUAAGCGUCGGUAAGGUGAUAUGAACCGUUAUAACCGGCGAUGUCCGAAUGGGGAAACCCAGUGUGUUCCGACACACUAUCAUUAACUGAAUCCAUAGGUUAAUGAGGCGAACCGGGGGAACUGAAACAUCUAAGUACCCCGAGGAAAAGAAAUCAACCGAGAUUCCCCCAGUAGCGGCGAGCGAACGGGGAGGAGCCCAGAGCCUGAAUCAGUGUGUGUGUUAGUGGAAGCGUCUGGAAAGGCGCGCGAUACAGGGUGACAGCCCCGUACACAAAAAUGCACAUGCUGUGAGCUCGAUGAGUAGGGCGGGACACGUGGUAUCCUGUCUGAAUAUGGGGGGACCAUCCUCCAAGGCUAAAUACUCCUGACUGACCGAUAGUGAACCAGUACCGUGAGGGAAAGGCGAAAAGAACCCCGGCGAGGGGAGUGAAAAAGAACCUGAAACCGUGUACGUACAAGCAGUGGGAGCCCUGAUUUAUCAGGGUGACUGCGUACCUUUUGUAUAAUGGGUCAGCGACUUAUAUUCUGUAGCAAGGUUAACCGAAUAGGGGAGCCGGAGGGAAACCGAGUCUUAACUGGGCGUUAAGUUGCAGGGUAUAGACCCGAAACCCGGUGAUCUAGCCAUGGGCAGGUUGAAGGUUGGGUAACACUAACUGGAGGACCGAACCGACUAAUGUUGAAAAAUUAGCGGAUGACUUGUGGCUGGGGGUGAAAGGCCAAUCAAACCGGGAGAUAGCUGGUUCUCCCCGAAAGCUAUUUAGGUAGCGCCUCGUGAAUUCAUCUCCGGGGGUAGAGCACUGUUUCGGCAAGGGGGUCAUCCCGACUUACCAACCCGAUGCAAACUGCGAAUACCGGAGAAUGUUAUCACGGGAGACACACGGCGGGUGCUAACGUCCGUCGUGAAGAGGGAAACAACCCAGACCGCCAGCUAAGGUCCCAAAGUCAUGGUUAAGUGGGAAACGAUGUGGGAAGGCCCAGACAGCCAGGAUGUUGGCUUAGAAGCAGCCAUCAUUUAAAGAAAGCGUAAUAGCUCACUGGUCGAGUCGGCCUGCGCGGAAGAUGUAACGGGGCUAAACCAUG